GACGAACGCUGGCGGCGUGCCUAAUACAUGCAAGUUGAGCGCUGAAGGUUGGUACUUGUACCAACUGGAUGAGCAGCGAACGGAUGAGUAACGCGUGGGGAAUCUGCCUUUGAGCGGGGGACAACAUUUGGAAACGAAUGCUAAUACCGCAUAAAAACUUUAAACACAAGUUUUAAGUUUGAAAGAUGCAAUUGCAUCACUCAAAGAUGAUCCCGCGUUGUAUUAGCUAGUUGGUGAGGUAAAGGCUCACCAAGGCGAUGAUACAUAGCCGACCUGAGAGGGUGAGCGGCCACAUUGGGACUGAGACACGGCCCAAACUCCUACGGGAGGCAGCAGUAGGGAAUCUUCGGCAAUGGACGAAAGUCUGACCGAGCAACGCCGCGUGAGUGAAGAAGGUUUUCGGAUCGUAAAACUCGGUUGGUAGAGAAGAACGUUGGUGAGAGUGGAAAGCUCAUCAAGUGACGGUAACUACCCAGAAAGGGACGGCUAACUACGUG
rnacentral:rRNA from 1 species